AUAGCGUAUAUUAAAGUUGUUGCGGUUAAAAAGCUCGUAGUUGAAUCUGUGUCCCACGCUGUCGGUUCACCGCUCGCGGUGUUUAACUGGCAUGAUUGUGGGACGUCCUACCGGUGGGCUUAGCCCCCUUCAAGGGGCGGCCCAACUAAUAUCCCAUCGCGGUGCUCUUUACUGAGUGUCGAGGUGGGCCGGUACGUUUACUUUGAACAAAUUAGAGUGCUUAAAGCAGGCUAUUUUCGCCUGAAUACUGUGUGCAUGGAAUAAUGGAAUAGGACCUCGGUUCUAUUUUGUUGGUUUUCGGAACCCCGAGGUAAUGAUUAAUAGGAACAGAUGGGGGCAUUCGUAUUGCGACGUUAGAGGUGAAAUUCUUGGAUCGUCGCAAGACGGACAGAAGCGAAAGCAUUUGCCAAAAAUGUUUUCUUUAAUCAAGAACGAAAGUUAGAGGUUCGAAGGCGAUCAGAUACCGCCCUAGUUCUAACCAUAAACGAUGCCAGCUAGCGAUCCGCCGAAGUUCCUCCGAUGACUCGGCGGGCAGCUUCCGGGAAACCAAAGCUUUUGGGUUCCGGGGGAAGUAUGGUUGCAAAGCUGAAACUUAAAGGAAUUGACGGAAGGGCACCACCAGGAGUGGAGCCUGCGGCUUAAUUUGACUCAACACGGGAAACCUCACCAGGCCCGGACACCGGAAGGAUUGACAGAUUGAGAGCUCUUUCUUGAUUCGGUGGGUGGUGGUGCAUGGCCGUUCUUAGUUGGUGGAGCGAUUUGUCUGGUUAAUUCCGAUAACGAACGAGACUCUAGCCUGCUAAAUAGGCGUACUUUCCGGUAUCUCGAAGGCCCCCGGCUUCGGUCGUGGGGUUUUUACUACCGGCGUACAAAUAAAUCUUCUUAGAGGGAC
rnacentral:rRNA from 1 species